UAUCAAGGCAGGGAGCAGUUUCAAGUCAGAGAUCCCAGAAGAAAAUGCCUGCUCCUCAUACUGCUGUCAGAGCCUGAGGGAACUAAAGUGCCUGCAGAGCAUAUAUUCCUCUUUCCCCACAAAAGAGUCCUUGCUCCCUAUACCCUGUCUCUCGGUGACAGCAAUAGCCGAGGAUUUUGCAGAUGCGAUGGAGAGAAUGGGCUUUUUAUGAAGUGUGAGCUGCCCACAUAUAUGAUCCUUAACUUCUUCGAAAUGGACAAAGCCACCAGUCUCCCUUGGUUAAGCCUAUCCACGAAACCUAUAAAGAAGUGCUUUUCAUCAAUGUUGAACAGGAAGGUAGGCAGCAAUAUGGGAACCACAGUCACAUCAAAACUCACAAGAUUUAAGUAGGUAUUAAGAAAAAGGAAAAUUAUUGCUAAAAAUGAAAUAUUCUUAUAAAACAUAAAAUAGACUUAGCCAGAUCAAAAAUCCAAGUAAAAUAGAAGUGUUGAUUACAGAAAAAUUUGAAGAACAGGCCAAGUAAAGAAUAAUGCUUUCAUUUGUAUAAACUCCCGACUUUCUGCAAUUUGAUUCUUAGAGAUUUUUUUGAGGCUUAGUUAUCAUCCAAAUCAUCAUGUUUAAUAGCCUUUGAUAUGGCUUUGUCCAGUUGCAUUCUGAAUCCAUUGUUGCUUUUGCAUACCCAAAUAUAUUGUAGCGAUGAAUUUCUCCUUUAAAUAUGCUUUGUGUGAAAGUCCUUCCUGUAAUUUAAUUAAAAAUGUUGGCUGAUUGUUCUCAUUUGGUGUUGACAAAAUCUCGUGUAGUAAAUUUUCACUUCUUAUCUAUCUUCUGUAUGUCACACAUUUUAUUAUAGGUCCCUAUUAUAUUUUCCCCUUUCUCUUCCACCUUUUUCCCAGCAGUGUAAUUUUCAACCUUAAAAGUCCUGUCUAUAUAAUGAGUUCUUUGUACAGUACAGAAGCAGUUUCAGACCUUUCAUAAUUCUCUCUGCAUUAUCUAGUUCUACUGUAUAUUUCUAUUAUGUAAUAUUCUGUAUAUAUCUUACAUCUAUAUCUCCCUAUAGUCAUAUAUAUGCAAAGAGGAAAAGACAGACUUGAGGUUAUCAGAACUGUAUACAAUAUUCAAUAAGUAAGCAUGUGAUGGUUUUACAUAAUGGCAUACUUACAUUUUAUGUUUUGUUCCCCAUUUAAAUAUUUUUCAUAAUCUGUUUUACAGAGGAGGAAAGCAAAAGCAAGAGAAGAAAAAGAAAAGACCUCAGUGGGGCACAGACUAGGAAAUAUUCUUUAAUACAGCUAACAGACUAAAAAAAUUGGAUCAACACAACAUACAGCCUUCUAUUAUCAUUUAAAGAAAGGGGGUACUGGAAAAAGGACAAUAUAAUUAAUAAUUAUCCUUG
rnacentral:lncRNA from 1 species